rnacentral:rRNA from 1 species
AACGAACGCUGGCGGCGUGCUUAACACAUGCAAGUCGAACGAGAAAAUCGUAGCAAUACGGUGAGUAAAGUGGCGCACGGGUCCGUAACACGUGGAUAAUUUUCCUUCGGGCGAGGGACAACCUGUCGAAAGACGGGCUAAUACCUCAUAAGACCACGAGAACUUCGGUUCUUGGGGUAAAAGGUGGCCUCUAUUUAUAAGCUAUCACCUGAAGAUAAGUCCGCGCACCAUUAGCUAGUUGGUGAGGUAAUGGCUCACCAAGGCCAAGAUGGUUAGCUGGUCUGAGAGGACGACCAGCGACACUGGAACUGAGACACGGUCCAGACUCCUACGGGAGGCUG